UACGUAGGUCCCGAGCGUUGUCCGGAUUUAUUGGGCGUAAAGCGAGCGCAGGUGGUUUAUUAAGUCUGGUGUAAAAGGCAGUGGCUCAACCAUUGUAUGCAUUGGAAACUGGUAGACUUGAGUGCAGGAGAGGAGAGUGGAAUUCCAUGUGUAGCGGUGAAAUGCGUAGAUAUUAGGAAGAACACCAGUGGCGAAGGCGGCCUGCUGGGCUUUAACUGACGCUGAAGCACGAAAGCGUGGGUAGCAAACAGG
rnacentral:rRNA from 1 species